rnacentral:rRNA from 1 species
GAUGAACGCUGGCGGUGUGCCUAAUACAUGCAAGUCGAGCGAACAGACGAGGAGCUUGCUCCUCUGACGUUAGCGGCGGACGGGUGAGUAACACGUGGAUAACCUACCUAUAAGACUGGGAUAACUUCGGGAAACCGGAGCUAAUACCGGAUAAUAUAUUGAACCGCAUGGUUCAAUAGUGAAAGACGGUUUUGCUGUCACUUAUAGAUGGAUCCGCGCCGCAUUAGCUAGUUGGUAAGGUAACGGCUUACCAAGGCAACGAUGCGUAGCCGACCUGAGAGGGUGAUCAGCCACACUGGAACUGAGACACGGUCCAGACUCCUACGGGAGGCAGCAGUAGGGAAUCUUCCGCAAUGGGCGAAAGCCUGACGGAGCAACGCCGCGUGAGUGAUGAAGGUCUUCGGAUCGUAAAACUCUGUUAUUAGGGAAGAACAAAUGUGUAAGUAACUAUGCACGUCUUGACGGUACCUAAUCAGAAAGCCACGGCUAACUACGUG